AUGUUGCAGUCUUCUUGUAUUCUAUCACCUUGCAAAUUCUUAGGGUGUUUUUGGUCAUUGUUUUUCACUUUUUACCUUGACAGGCAAAUUUCCUUAUGCCUUGUGCUUUUGGCGACAUCGAAAAAUGCUCUCAUACUUUACCUCCUCUAUUUAAAAAAAUAUGGCUCUUGGAUGGAUCUGGAUCACUUUGAAUGUUUGGUGGAUGACUGUGGUGUAAUUGUCCUUCCACUCCAUUCUGUCCCCGGCCUUCCCCAGACUAACUCCUAUCUCGAAUGCUGGGUUUCCCACAUACAUGCGUAUGCCUAAACACAGUUGCUUUUUUUUUUUUUUUUAAGUUUUUAUUUAUUUAUUCGACAGAGAUAGAGACAGCCAGUGAGAGAGGGAACACAAGCAGGGGGAGUGGGAGAGGAGGAAGCAGGCUCACAGUUGCUUUUGAACCCAGGGUAUGGUACUGAGAUUUUCUUCACUCAACAUCCUUCCUGAUUCAUCGACGGUAUGCACGUAGCCGGAGUUGAUGCGUUUUCAUGGUUGUGUGAUGUUACGCUGUAUAGCUUUGCAUUUGAUCCCCUUUCCUCAUACUGGCCUGAGUCGUUUCUAGGUUCUUGUGAUCAGGAAGUGCUGCUUGGGAGCACCUUUGGCCAUGCUUCCUGGGGUUUUCUCAUCUGAGCUUCAGAAUGAAAUUAUUGCUGGUUUAGCCCUAAGCCCAUGGUUGGACUCCCUUUAGUGAGAACAGCCUGGUGCUGAGCAGGCCUUUUGGAGUUGGGGGCUAUACGCCGUCUAGGCCAAGGCAUCUCUGAUCUUGCAGACCCCAAGUCAUGGCACUCAGGGACCCAAAGCCUCUGUAAUCGCAGGGUUGGCUGUCAUUCUUGGGAGCGUUUGAGUCAGGGCAAGUUCCAAAGGCUACACAGCUCUCUCAGUAAGCAGCUGAGUUAGGGGCUGAGCCUCAGGCCCUUCCCUGUACCUGCAGCUGGUCAGGAGUCUUGAACUCUGAGCCGGUCUGAAGGACUGAGUAGGGGACAGGGCGUACACCUGAGACCAACAGGACCCUUCUCAGUGUGCGGGUCCAAGGAGCCAGGCAGUGCUGGCCUGUUGCAAGGUUAAAUAAGAUCCCAUGGUGUACUUCUCAGUCUGAACUGAAGCUUCUGCCUUCAUAACCUAGCAGGUGACAGGGGCCAGCACCAAGCAGCCUGGAAGAAAGAGCCAGGCCAGAGAACCUUGAGCAAGCCCCUAACUCAGCCCUGAACCUAUUUCUACAUCUGUUAAAUUAUAACUUGUGAGAAGUUCUACUUGAAUCUCCAGACUCAGCUCUUGCAUCCCUUCUAUUUUAAGAUCUAUUUGAGAAAGAGCACAUGCACAGGAGCAGGGAGGGGGAGUGGCAGAGGAAGAGGGAGAGGGAAUCUCAAGCAGACUCCCAGCUGAGCGCAGAGCCCAAUGAUGGGCUCGAUCUCACGACCCUGAUAUCAUGACCUGAGCCGAAAUCAAGAGUUGGAUGCUUAACUAAGCCACCCAGGCACCACCCCCCUCCUGCACCACUAACUUUUUACUUCCCUGACCUCACUGCCCACUGUCCCUUACACUGGGCCAUGACUGUUAGUCUCCUGCACCAGACUGGGAGCCCCUCAAAAGCUGUGCCUGUGGCCCAGAGCUCAAAACAAGGCCUGGUGAAAGGGUAGGGGUUGGAGGGCAAGGCAUGGGCAUCUCUGCCACCACCUGGCCAAGACAGACGGUGCCUGUUGGCUGAGUGGUCCACAGCCAACAAGGAAACACUGCCCCCAAGAAAGCUUGGAGGGACCUCUUCAGUUCUAUGGGAGACACGGACUCCCCAAGUGUGCCUGCUGUGUAAGGUAGACAGUAAGGAGGGUUUGCUUAGCUCUCUUCACACCACAUGUGGCAAAGGGAAGGAAGGAUUCUGACGAAGGUACCUCCACUCCGGGCCCUAUGGCCAGAUACCCUGUGGUGGCUUCCCAGCCAAGCUCAACCCUGUGAAGUGACCUUGCUAGCCAGACCCAGGGGGUUCCCGAUUGUGCAGCCAGUGGGGCUCGUGGCAAAAUCCAGACAGUGUCCAUCUCAGCCAGGUCCAUAAAUGGAGCAAUGUAGGGGCUAGUGGAAUUGCAGCCCAAAGGCUAGGGAAAGGGUAAUAAAGCUGGAGACAUGAAACAGGCCCAACUCAGGACCCUCAGUGCCCAGAGAAGGAGAUCCUUCCACCCUCCCUGACCCCCAGGAGUCGCUGCCCGCUCCCGGGCACGAACUGCUACUGAAGGGGAGCUGGCACAUCCAGACACAUCUGGGCCUAGGCAGGAGAGGCUGCCCCAUGGGACGAUACAAGGUUGGCGCAGGGGCUCUUCUGCGGACGGACGAGCCCGUACGGACUGAGGUGGGACUCCAGGUUCUAAGCCCCAAGAACUGCCCACUUAAGGUGAAAGAUUACUCAGUCCCCACUUGCCACACAUGACUUUAUUUGUGAAGCCCUGGGCACAGCCCAGACACACAAAGAGCACAAAGGGGAAAGCACAGCUCCAGCGCAGUCCCCACCCUGUCCAGGUCCUUUUAAGAGCGCCCCGAGCUGCAGCUCAGGCUCCGUCGGCCCUGCCCCUGCCCCCUGGGCCGGAGAACAGGUUUGGGCCUGCCAAAGAGCCCCCUCCAGCUUGGCCCCCAGGCCAGUCAGACAUCUCAGCAGCAAGGGGCAGGCCCCACUGGAUCUGAAGCCAGCACCAUCUACCCAGCAAUCCCUGCUCCUAGACCCCCAGUGUCUGC
rnacentral:lncRNA from 1 species